UACGUAGGCAGCGAGCGUUGUUCGGAGUUACUGGGCGUAAAGGGUGCGUAGGCGGUUGUUUAAGUUUGGUGUGAAAUCUCCCGGCUCAACUGGGAGGGUGCGCCGAAUACUGAAUGACUAGAGUGCGGGAGAGGAUAGUGGAAUUCCUGGUGUAGCGGUGAAAUGCGUAGAUAUCAGGAGGAACACCGGUGGUGUAGACGGCUAUCUGGACCGUAACUGACGCUGAGGCACGAAAGCCGUGGGUAGCAAACAGG
rnacentral:rRNA from 1 species